rnacentral:lncRNA from 1 species
AUGGCUACAAACAGCAUGUCCAUCCAAUUGCGCAAAGGUAAGGCAAUCACCAAGGAUGGAUGUAGAAUUUGUAACAGAAUGCUUCAAAAUAAAGACGAAGUGGAGAGACUAAUAAAUAACAAAGAUGCAACACGCUUCAUGAAACCUCUGAGAGGUACUCCAGCCUAUUGGGAGAAGGCACUGAAAGAUCUGCAUGCUAUGGUCAGACAGUUAGGAAAGCCAACUUUUUUCCUGACAUUUUCAGCUGCUGAAAUGAGAUGGCCUGAGGUUGUUGAGGUCAUAAAAACUCAACAAGGUGAACAAGUGGAUUUUUCACAACUUGACUGGAACACAAAGUGUGAAAUUCUCCGAAGCAACCCUGUGACUGUGAUGCGAUUGUUUGAAAAAAGAGUCGAUGCACUAAUGACAACACUGAUCCUGUCCCCAGCACAGCCCAUCGGUGAAGUAGAAGAUUACUUUUAUCGAGUGGAGUUUCAGGCCAGAGGUAGCCCUCAUAUCCAUUUACUGGUUUGGGUCAAAGAUGCACCUAAAUUUGGAAGCGACCUUGAGGACCAUGUGUACAAAUUUAUUGACAAGUACAUAACAUGUAAGAUGCCUGACCAAAAUGCCGAUCCUGAACUUCACAAAAUUGUGUCUGAGGUUCAAGUCCACAGCAGAAAUCACUCCAGAUCCUGUAAAAAAGGUAAUGUGUCAUGUAGGUUUGGGUUCCCCAAACUACCCGUAGACCAAACAAUGAUCACUUUCCCAAGCCCAGAUGAUGACGAUCACAAUGAUAAGCGGCAUAGCACAAGUAAGGAGAAAGGCACAAAUGAAAAACAAAAGCAAAAAAACAGACGAAUGGCUCUCGCAAAAAAACAGAAAGAGGCCAAAGAAAAACUCCAGCCAUUGAGAGAUUUGCUCUGUGACCCAAAUUCCUCAUUUGAAGACUUGUCUGAGCUGCUUCACAAAUGCAAAUUAACUUAUGAACAAUACUUGGAUUGUGUCUUCAAUUUAAGCAAUGGCCAUGUCAUCCUCUUAAAGCGUGAACCUAAUGACUGCUGGGUGAAUGCAUACAAUGCAGAUCUGCUGAGGGCCUGGAAUGCCAACAUGGACAUCCACUAUGUCAUUGAUGACUACAGCUGCCUGAUGUAUAUGAUGUCUUAUGUCUCUAAACCCGAAUUUGAGAUGACACAAUUUCUUAAUGGAGUCAUCCAGGAGGUCAAAAAGUCCAAUGUCAAUGAAAGAGAUGAAAUGAAACAGAUAAUGCAGGCAUAUGCUAAACACAGAGAAGUCAGUGCCCAAGAAUCUGUGGCAAGGACAUGCAGCCUGCCACUAAAAAAGUGUUCACGCAGUGUGGUGUUCAUACAGACUGAUGAUGAUGCCCUGAAAAUGAGUCUCCCGAUGAGCAGGUUGCAGAGCAUGGCACCAGAUGAUGAAAAUGUGUGGAUGUCUGGAUUGCCAGAAAAAUAUGCAAACAGACCCAGAACACCUGAGUUUGAAAGAAUGUGUUUGGCUGAAUUUGCUUCAGAGUACAGGAUUCUCUACAGCUGGCAAACAGAAUCAAAAAAUGCCAUCCCUCUUUUGAAUAACAUGGGUUAUAUUCAAAAGAGAACAAGAGGGAAACCUGCAAUAAUCAGAUAUCCUCGGUUCUCAGAAAAGAAACAACCAGAGAAGUUUUAUAGCAGACUACUAAAACUUUAUUUUCCACAUCGAUCAAAUGAUGACCUUAAAAACACAAAUACCCCACAUCCGAACAGAUCUACAAAAGUGGACGAAAACAUGGUUUUGCAGUACGGCCAAUUGUUACCUUUAACAAAAAGCGUUAUGAAAGCCAUGGCAAAACAAUGGAAAGGGCACUGGAACAGAUUGAACAACAAGGCCCACUUAUCAAUGCAUGGAACACUUUUGCACCUGAGGUUGAAGUAG